rnacentral:tmRNA from 1 species
GACCUUUCGCCCGGUAUGGUAUCCGCCGUUAUCGGGCUAAUCGUAACAGGUGCCAACGAUAAUGAAAUGGCCCUCGCUGCCUAAUAGGUAAGCGCGGUUGGAGGGGUACCGGGCAACAGAAACCCCUCGCU